UUUGGCAGGGAAGGUGAAAGGGUGCUAGGAUUACUUGUGUACCCUUAGGACUCUAUAAAUAAGAGCUUGGAGUGACGUAGGCAUCACACUUGGAGAUUUUUGGAGGUGGCGGUGCUAGGGCCAAGGAGAUUUCCGGCGAAUUUUCGUUGUGGUGUAAACAAGGUUCCAUGAAGUGGGGACCGAUCUCCAAGGAGCAAGAAGACGAGGUUGAGAGAGUGAGGUCACUGUUGUCGGAGACCCAGCAUGAGUGCAAAAACCUAGUCACCCAGAAGAACCUGUACGAGUCUAGAAUCUUGCAAGGGAUGGCAGGUAUCAUAAGGGGAAGCACGAAGGUGGCUAUGGAUCUGGAUGAUCCCGAUAUGCAAAACCGGCUGAGGGAGUCUCGGGCCAAGUGGGUGGAGAAGGGAGGUGCUCAGCAAGCGGCUGGGAAGCGUCCUAGAGAUGAUGAAGGCCUGUUUGCCGAUGUGCUGGGAAAGAAGAGAGCACUGGAGGAAGCCCACCGGAGCGUGAUGGGGACAGGGUCGAGGCUUCCUCCCUUUGACCUGCAGGCGCCGCUGAAGCUCCCCUUUGGUAUGGAUGAUGUUUACGCCGAGGGGGUGGAGAAGGUGGACUUCUCUGGGCUGCGUCGGUAGAAGAAAGAGGUGAACCUGGCCAUGCAUCGGCAAGAGGUUCCUUCGGUGAACGUCUUCCUAGAAGGCGUGAAAAGUGACCCAGAGGUUCUGGCGAGGACCCCGACUACCUCUUAUGCAGAUCGGGCCCAGAAGACGCUCCUUACCCAAGCCUAUGCUUAUGGCGAGAUGUACGUGAAUAUGGCUAAGGCAGAUAAGGAGAUCCAGAGGCUAAAGAGACGUAAUGAGAUGGCCAAGGACAAGGUAGUGGAGGUACAGGAGGCCAUCCAAGAGAAGAACACCAUGGUGCUGCAGAAAGCGACGAUGGCCAAGGAGAUGGAAGAGCUGAAGCGGUCGAGGGUCGAGGAGAUAGCUGCUGCCCGAGCUGAAGAGAUCGAGUCUUUUCGAGGCUCGGAGGAGCUGAGGAGCUACAUCAUGGAUCAGAUGGUGGCAAUGUAGCUGCAUUGGGAGGAAAGGGUGGUGAUGGUCAACCCUUCGGUGGAGAUUAACUUUGACACGAGUGGCGAGCCUCCUUCAUCUAGUCCUACCACUGAUGCCGCUCUA